rnacentral:rRNA from 1 species
UAUUUUAUAUGAGAGUUUGAUCCUGGCUCAGGAUGAACGCCGGCGGUGUGCCUAAUACAUGCAAGUCGUCAGCACCUGCCCCACUCAUGCAUCGUGCUUGCCCCGGAUGUUCUAUGGCGCACCCGUGGGU